rnacentral:tRNA from 1 species
UAUAUUUUAGUGUAUUUGCACAAGAAGUUUUGAUUUUCUUAGUCCUAGGUAUUAUCUAGGAAAUAUAA